rnacentral:tRNA from 1 species
GCGGGUGUGGCGGAAUUGGCAGACGCGCUAGAUUUAGGAUCUAGUGGCCUUAGGCCGUGGAGGUUCGAGUCCUCUCACCCGUA